rnacentral:rRNA from 1 species
AUGGAAAGCAAUAGAGCCCCUGGCCCUGACAAUAUACCCGCGGAGUUUUAUAAGCACUGCUGGGAGUUCGUUAAAAAUGAUAUUAUGCGUUUGUUUGAAGCUUUUCAUAAUAAUACCCUAGAUGUGGCUCGGCUGAACUAUGGGGUUAUCACCCUGAUCCCUAAGAUAAAUGGGGCAAAGAAAAUACAGCAAUAUCGCCCCAUAUGCCUCCUUAGAUGCCCCUACAAGUUGAUUACCAAGGUUUUGGAUAAUAGAGUUGCGGUGUUUGCUGACAAAUUAAUUAGCAAAUACCAGAAUGCCUUCAUCAAACACAGAAACAUUAUGGAUGGCAUCCUCACCCUCCAUGAGGUGUUGCAUCAUACCCAUGUUAAGAAGAAAACUGGGAUAGUUCUAAAGUUGGACUUCGAGAAGGCCUACGACAAGAUAAAUUGGGACUUUCUCCUUGAGUGCCACCGUAACUAUGGUUUCGGAGUGACCUGGUGUGGUUGGGUAGAAAAAAAUACUACACAAUGGCACCUUGAGCAUUAA